AGGGGGGGGGGGGGGGAAAAACCACAUUGAAAGAUUUACCAAGUACCUGUGCUUUGAGUUUGUGGAUAUGGGGUCAUCGAGUGAAGUCCUUGGAGCACAAUGCAGAAGAGUGCUCUGUCUCCAGGUGAAGGAAGCAAGCUUGUCCGCUGGGGAGGAAAAAGACCAAAUUAAUUAAACAAUAAGGUUUUCAGGCCCUUCAGUGUGUGCUGUAGUAGUGAAAUGGAUUUGUGUUGUGCUAUUUGAUCCAUUAGUAUGAAUGAAUAGAUUAAGAAACCUUCCCCUGAGAAAAAGGCCAGACAGUGACUGAUGGGGGCAGAGCCCGCAGGUAAAACCUGGUACUACCUCCUAAACCUUUGUAAUUGCUAACUUGGUUAUGACAGAAUGGUUAAAGCAGACAGUAAAGUGCUAGAAUU